UACGGGGGAGCAAGCGUUGUUCGGAUUUACUGGGCGUAAAGGGCGCGUAGGCGGCCAGCACAAGUCAGUUGUGAAAUCUCCGAGCUUAACUCGGAAAGGUCAACUGAUACUGUGCGACUAGAGUGCAGAAGGGGCAACUGGAAUUCUCGGUGUAGCGGUGAAAUGCGUAGAUAUCGAGAGGAACACCUGCGGCGAAGGCGGGUUGCUGGGCUGACACUGACGCUGAUGCGCGAAAGCCAGGGGAGCGAACGGG
rnacentral:rRNA from 1 species